rnacentral:sRNA from 14 species
AUCGGUCUUUGGUCAAGGGUAUAUGAGUAGCUGCGCUCUCCUGCUAGAACCUCCAAACAAGCUCUGAGUCCAUUGUAGGAAUAUAGGGUAGUAAAAA